rnacentral:ncRNA from 1 species
UAUAAACUUUAGGAGUAGCUAGAUUACUAGUUUGAGAAAUAUCCUUAGAACCUGAUUUGGUUAAUACCAGCGGAGGGAAAAGUUAUCUUAACUUU